rnacentral:rRNA from 1 species
AACGAACGCUGGCGGCAUGCCUAACACAUGCAAGCCGAACGAAGGCUUCGGCCUUAGUGGCGCACGGGUGCGUAACGCGUGGGAAUCUGCCCUUAGGUACGGAAUAACUCAGGGAAACUUGAGCUAAUACCGUAUAAUGACUUCGGUCCAAAGAUUUAUCGCCUGAGGAUGAGCCCGCGUCGGAUUAGCUAGUUGGUGAGGUAAAAGCUCACCAAGGCGACGAUCCGUAGCUGGUCUGAGAGGAUGAUCAGCCACACUGGGACUGAGACACGGCCCAGACUCCUACGGGAGGCAGCAGUGGGGAAUAUUGGACAAUGGGCGAAAGCCUGAUCCAGCAAUGCCGCGUGAGUGAUGAAGGCCUUAGGGUUGUAAAGCUCUUUUACCCGGGAUGAUAAUGACAGUACCGGGAGAAUAAGCCCCGGCUAACUCCGUGCCAGCCGCCGCGGUAA